rnacentral:rRNA from 1 species
AUUGAACGCUGGCGGCAGGCCUAACACAUGCAAGUCGAACGAGUGGCGGACGGGUGAGUAAUGUCUGGGAAAAUGCCUGAUGGAGGGGGAUAACUACUGGAAACGGUAGCUAAUACCGCAUACCAUCAGAUGUGCCCAGAUGUGAUUAGCUAGUUGUGGGGGUAACGGCUCACCAAGGCGACGAUCCCUAGCUGGUCUGAGAGGAUGACCAGCGACACGGGAACUGAGAGACGGGACAGACGCCUACGGGAGGCAGUAGUGGGGAAUAUUGCACAAUGGGCGCAAGCCUGAUGCAGCCCUGCCGCGUGUAUGUAGCAGGCCUUCGGGUUGUAAAGUACUUUCAGUGGGGAGGCGUUACCCUCAGAAGAAGCACCGGCUAACUCCGUGCCAGCAGCCGCGGUAAUUC